rnacentral:rRNA from 1 species
AUUGAACGCUGGCGGCAGGCCUAACACAUGCAAGUCGAGCGGAUGAAUGGAGCUUUCUCCUGGAUUCAGCGGCGGACGGGUGAGUAAUGCCUAGGAAUCUGCCUUGUCUUUGGGGAUAACGUCCGGAAACGGGCGCUAAUACCGCAUACGUCCUGAUGGAGAAAGUGGGGGAUCUUCGGACCUCACGCUAUCAGAUGAGCCUAGGUCGGAUUAGCGAGUUGGUGGGGUAAAGGCCUACCAAGGCGACGAUCCGUAACUGGUCUGAGAGGAUGAUCAGUCACACUGGAACUGAGACACGGUCCAGACUCCUACGGGAGGCAGCAGUGGGGAAUAUUGGACAAUGGGCGAAAGCCUGAUCCAGCCAUGCCGCGUGUGUGAAGAAGGUCUUCGGAUUGUAAAGCACUUUAAGUUGGGAGGAAGGGCAGUAAGUUAAUACCUUGCUGUUUUGACGUUACCAACAGAAUAAGCACCGGCUAACUUCGUG